UACGUAUGGUGCAAGCGUUAUCCGGAUUUACUGGGUGUAAAGGGAGCGUAGACGGAGUGGCAAGUCUGAUGUGAAAACCCGGGGCUCAACCCCGGGACUGCAUUGGAAACUGUCAAUCUAGAGUACCGGAGAGGUAAGCGGAAUUCCUAGUGUAGCGGUGAAAUGCGUAGAUAUCACGAAGAACUCCGAUUGCGAAGGCAGCUCACUGGACGGUAACUGACGUUGAGGCUCGAAAGCGUGGGGAGCAAACAGG
rnacentral:rRNA from 1 species